rnacentral:rRNA from 1 species
GAUGAACGCUGGCGGCGUGCCUAAUACAUGCAAGUCGAGCGAACAGACGAGGAGCUUGCUCCUCUGACGUUAGCGGCGGACGGGUGAGUAACACGUGGAUAACCUACCUAUAAGACUGGGAUAACUUCUGGAAACCGUAGCUAAUACCGGAUAAUAUAUUUAACCGCAUGGUUCAAUAGUGAAAGACGGUUUUGCUGUCACUUAUAGAUGUAUCCGCGCCGCAUUAGCUAGUUGGUGAGGUAACGGCUUACCAAGGCGACUAUCAGUAGCUGACCUGAGAGGAUGAACAGCCACACUGGAACUGAGACAAGGUCCAGACUCCGACGGAAGGCAGAAGGGGGGAAUAUUGGAGAAUGGACGCAAGCCGGAUCCAGCCAUACCGCGUGAGUGAAGAAGGCCUUAGGGUGUUAAAGCCCUUUUGUUGGGAAAGAAAAGCAGCAGGUGAAUACCCCGCUGUUCUGACGGUACCCAAAGAAUAAGCAACGGCUAACUUCGUG